CGGUCCUUUAAUGAAAUCCAGAGAGGUUUCCAAGGACGCGUUAAAAUAAUCAUCCAUCUUGCGGGUUGUUUUAAGGUAGUCUUUGGGCCGGAGCUCAAGGGCUAUUAUUUUU
rfam:Lactobacillus mucosae LM1, complete genome.